GCCCCCGUAGCUCAGGGGAUAGAGCACAGGAUUCCUAAUCCUGGUGCCGCACGUUCGAAUCGUGCCGGGGGCACCA
rnacentral:tRNA from 1 species